rnacentral:rRNA from 1 species
AGAGUUUGAUCCUGGCUCAGAAUGAACGCUGGCGGCGUGGUUUAGGCAUGCAAGUCGAGCGAGAAAGUCACCUUCGGGAGGCGAGUACAGCGGCGCAAGGGUGAGUAAUAUAUAGGUAACCUACCUCUAAGAUCGGGAUAAUUCCUGGAAACGGGUUGGUAAUACUGGAUGGUCUUUUCUGGUCGCAUGACCGGAUUAGUAAAUGGUAGCUAUGCUUCUGCUUAGAGAGGGGCCUAUAUCCUAUUAGCUUGUUGGUGCGGUAAUGGCGCACCAAGGCUUUGAUGGGUAGCCGGACUGAGAGGUUGGCCGGUCACACUGGGACUGAGACACUGCCCAGACUCCUACGGGAGGCUGCAGUCGAGAAUCUUCCGCAAUGGGCGAAAGCCUGACGGGGCGACGCCGCGUGAACGAAGAAGGCCUUCGGGUUGUAAAGUUCUGUCAGUAGAGAAGAAUGAAUAUCGGUUAAUAGUCGGUAUUUUGACGUUAUCUUCAGAGGAGCCCUGGCUAACUCCGUGCCAGCAGCCGCGGUAAUACGGAGAGGGCAAGCGUUGUUCGGAAUCACUGGGCAUAAAGGGCACGUAGGCGGAUCAGAAAGUCGGUUGUGAAAGCCCGGGGCUCAACCCCGGAACUGCUUCCGAAACUUCUGGUCUAGAGGGUGAGAGGGGAGAGUGGAACUUCUGGUGGAGCGGUGAAAUGCGUAGAGAUCAGAAGGAACACCGGUGGCGAAAGCGACUCUCUGGCUCAUUUCUGACGCUGAGGUGCGAAAGCUUGGGUAGCGAACGGGAUUAGAUACCCCGGUAGUCCAAGCCGUAAACGAUGAGCACUAGGUAGGGGGGACUCUGACGUCCUCCCUGCUGUAGCUAAUGUGUUAAGUGCUCCGCCUGGGGAGUAUGGUCGCAAGGCUAAAACUCAAAGGAAUUGACGGGGGCUCACACAAGCGGUGGAGCAUGUGGUUUAAUUCGAAUCAACGCGCAGAACCUUACCUGGGUUUGACAUGCACGGAUUAGCUCAUGGAAACAUGAGUAACGCUCGCAAGAGUGGAACGUGCACAGGUGCUGCAUGGCUGUCGUCAGCUCGUGUCGUGAGAUGUCGGGUUAAGUCCCUUAACGAGCGAAACCCCUACUGUUAGUUGCCAGCGGAUAAUGCCGGGGACUCUAGCAGGACUGCCGUGGUCAACACGGAGGAAGGUGGGGAUGACGUCAAGUCCUCAUGGCCCUUAUACCCAGGGCUACACACGUGCUACAAUGGUCGAUACAAAGCGCAGCGAGACCGCGAGGUCAAGCCAAUCGCAUAAAGUCGGCCCCAGUACGGAUUGCAGGCUGCAACUCGCCUGCAUGAAGUUGGAAUCGCUAGUAAUCGCGUAUCAGCAUUGACGCGGUGAAUAUGUUCCUGAGCCUUGUACACACCGCCCGUCAAGCCACGGGAGCUGGUAGUGCCCGAAGUCGCUGACCCAACCCGCAAGGGAGGGAGGUGCCGACGGUAAGACCGGUGACUGGGACUAAGUGGUAACAAGGUAACCA